CUCAGUUGUGUCUGAAUGGUACUACAAGUUCUCAUCUUUUUUCCAGACAUUUUAACGUCGUUCAAAGUUAAACGUGCAAACAAAAACCUAGUAGAGUAAGUCAAAAUCAAAUGUAUGGCUGAAAAGCGCAAGUUAAUUACAGUUUUAAUCAGAAACAGCAGGAGCCUCCUGUUCCAUGUUACUCCACUGGCAGCUCGGCAGCGCCCCGAAAUUUUUCGUUUCAGACAACUCAUCUGUCGUAUAGUUCCACGUUUAAUAAACAUUUAAAAUCCAUCGUUUUGACCCAAAAUGUUUUUGAAAGGUAACCACUUAACCUCAUGAACUCCACGAACCUGCUCAUGAAUCCAGUUUUGCAUUGUUUUCUUCUCAUAACUUUUGUAUUAGUUUCAGGAUCUCAUCAGAGUCAUCAGUCUCCGAACUCUCGUUAAAGUUAUAAGGCUAACGGUAAUACUCAGGACAGGGUUAGAGUUCUCUAGUCAAAUCCAUAAACCCAAGGGCUUUUGGGAAAUCAAUCAUUCCUUCACAUAAAUGUCUAUCUGCAAGGUUCCAGGGAGAAAAACCAGAUGAGUUCAUGGAUUUAUUAUCUGCUGCAGGAUGUCAUGAAUAAUUACUGAGGAAACCACUGAAUCCAUCAAGCUGAGGGAAAUGAACAGCAAAAAAAAUGGACUUUUGUUUCCAGGGAAUCGAUCGGGCACGUCGGUUUUCGUGACAAACUCGUCAUGACGACUGAGCCGUAAUGAGAGUAUCAUAAACCUGGAUGAUUGUGUAAGUAGACUGUGUGCUGGUAGAAUCAGAUGAAAAUAGAUAGAGUGGAAAAAAAAAUUACAAUAGCGAUAGCAGACGAUUACGGACCGAAUGUACUGAGGUGCAGCAAAGGGUUAAAGUGAGACUUAAUGAUUCUUAAAAACUUGGAGAGGGUACAGCUGUGAGUUUUCUGAUUGUAUCUGCAGUGUGAUGGAUAGCAAGGACCGAAAUCAUGGUCACUGCAUUACAGAAACAGUCAUGUCCACAGGAAAAAUAGUAAGAGCCAAUAACAUUUCAUCUUAACAGAUCUAUAUUUGAUAGAUAUCAUAUAGGUAUUAUAGAGGUCAUAAUGCAUUAUAUAGGUAGCAUAUAGCUCAUAAUGCAUUAUAUAGGUAGCAUAGAGGUCAUAAUGCAUUAUAUAGAUAUCAUAGAGGUAAUAAUGCAUUAUAUAGAUAUCAUAGAGGUAAUAAUGCAUUAUAUAGAUAUCAUAGAGGUAGCAUAGAGGUAAUAAUGAAUUAUAUAGAUAUAAUAGAGGUCAUAAUGCAUUAUAUAGAUAUCAUAGAGGUCAUAAUGCAUUAUAUAGGUAUCAACUAUGUUAUAAUGCAUUAUAAAGUUAUAUAGGUAAUAAUGCAUUCUAUAUAAAUUAAAUAUAUAUUAAUGUAUUGUAUAGGUGAUAUCGUAUCAACUCACCGAUCAUCGGUGUCACUGUCCGAGUCACCUACAAAUUCAACUUUAACCCCUGGGUGCAUCAUGGGAAAAGAAUCAACCUGACUACACUGUAAACAGCUGCAUUUAAAUAGACUCUGAUGAAAUUAGCAUCACAGAAGCAGCGACGUUCACACAAAGUGAGCUUUUAAAAGCUUUUACUCCGUCACUUUUUAAGCUUAAUAUUUAAUUACGCGCUCGUUCUGAUACGUUAUCGUUUCUAUAGUAACGGCUCGUUCAAAGGGACGGCGGACGCUCCACAUGAGCACACAAACAGAAUCCACUGAUAUGCUGAUUGGUGAUAAUCACUGAUGUGGUAAAUUAGGCAAGAAAAUCUUAAAUGAACAUUUAAGAUUUAAGAGGCUGGAGAGGCAAUGACCGUGUUUAGUGGCUAUAUUGUAACCAACACUAAAUGUAACUAUGAAAUGAUAGAAAGGGACGAUGUUGUUUAAUAAAUGAAAAACGUAAUCAUUGGUAUAAGAGGAAUAAAACACUUCAGUUUUAGGACCAUCGUUAACUGUAGGCUGGGAACAGUAACUAAAAAAAAAACAAAACAAAUCACAUCACACCAUCGUUGAUUAUUCUCCCAUAACAGCAUGACACCAAGAGUUAAAUUCCUCACGUCAGUGACUGAUUUAUCAUCGAAUCCACCUCUUAUUGCUUAAUUUAUCGUUUUGCUCGAUUUCACAUAUCCCACAUGUAUCGGACAAGAUUCGAUGAUCUUGCGUGUUUCAUUUGUACGAAUGAACUCUGCCAUUCUUCAAACGUCAGAAAAAGUUCAGCGCUAUCACGAUCUGACACGAAACGUCGUGUUUAUCCAACGAAACGCUUCCAAAACAUUCGAAUCUAUUUGUUUCCUUCCUGCCAGUGUUGCCGUUUUGUUCCCUUAAGGAAAAGGUCUGAGAAACAGCAGGAAGAAAGUGGUCAUUUCCACCGCCCACACACACACACACACACACACACACACACCAACAAAUAUACACAAUAUCACCGAAGACAGGCGUGAGUCAGAGAGAAAAGCCGGUAAUAUCACACUCUCUGUAGUUUCACUGAAAACAACACUUUUUUUUGUCUUUUAAUCCCGAGGCUGUAGAGAAGUCAUGGAAGAGCAGCGGGGUGUGACGGACUGAUAGAAGUGUGCGUCACGGUCUAAUCUCUCGUCUCUCUCUCAGAACAGUACACUGAAAACCCUGACAAGAUGACUGUACUCAAUUGAUUGAGUAAACCCGUUCCCUCGAUUUGACGGAG
ensembl:lncRNA